rnacentral:rRNA from 1 species
CUCUGUGACUCCUACGGGAGGCAGCAGUGGGGAAUAUUGCACAAUGGGCGCAAGCCUGAUGCAGCCAUGCCGCGUGUGUGAAGAAGGCCUUCGGGUUGUAAAGCACUUUCAGUUGUGAGGAAGGUGGUGUCGUUAAUAGCGGCAUCAUUUGACGUUAGCAACAGAAGAAGCACCGGCUAACUCCGUGCCAGCAGCCGCGGUAAUACGGAGGGUGCGAGCGUUAAUCGGAAUUACUGGGCGUAAAGCGCAUGCAGGCGGCCUGUUAAGUCAGAUGUGAAAGCCCGGGGCUUAACCUCGGAAUUGCAUUUGAAACUGGCAGGCUAGAGUCUUGUAGAGGGGGUAGAAUUUCAGGUGUAGCGGUGAAAUGCGUAGAGAUCUGAAGGAAUACCAGUGGCGAAGGCGGCCCCCUGGACAAAGACUGACGCUCAGAUGCGAAAGCGUGGGGAGCAAACAGGAUUAGAUACCCUGGUAG